ACUCCUACGGGAGGCAGCAGUGGGGAAUAUUGGACAAUGGGCGCAAGCCUGAUCCAGCAAUGCCGCGUGUGUGAAGAAGGCCUGCGGAUUGUAAAGCACUUUCAGUGGGGAAGAACGGGUCCGGGCCAAUACCCCGGAUCACUGACGUUACCCACAGAAGAAGCACCGGCUAACUCCGUGCCAGCAGCCGCGGUAAU
rnacentral:rRNA from 1 species